ensembl:lncRNA
AGCGGAGGAAAAACAGAGCUGUUGUCAUGGCCUAUUUUUACACAGGAUGAUAGUGAUGGAACAAGGGGAAUGGUUUUAAACUAGAAGAGGGGAGACUUAGAUUAGAUGUUAGGAGGAAAUUCUUCGCUCUCAGUGUGGUGAGGCGCUGGCACAGCUGCCCAGAGAGGCUGUGGUGCCCCAUCCCUGGAUGCUCAAGGCCAGGUUGGAUGGGGCCCUGGGUAUCCUGAGCUGGUGGGGGGCAGCCCUGCCCAUGGCAGGGGGUUGGAGCUGGGUGGGCUUUAAUGUCUCUUCCAACACAAACCAUUCUAUUUUAUUUUUAUAUGGCAACAUCUAAAAUACUUAAUUUUUUUGUAGUAGUGAAUGACUGCACUAUACUUGUAGAUGACUUUAAUUUUAACUUUCCUUCUUCAGUAAAUUGACAGUUGUGCUAUAUGAACUCAAAUAGAGUGUCUCUAAUUUUGUUGUUGUUGUUGUUGUUUGUUUGUUUGUUUUUGUUAGUUUCAAGUUCUUAAGCCUCACUUCCAGCCUUGCUUUCUUCCCCCAAGUCUCAUCCAACAGAAGACACCAAGGCAAUUCCUGCCUGGGAUGGAGGACAGUGGCCGUUGGCCUCAGCGUAAGAGCAGCCUUCUGAGAUAGUUUUGCUAAUCUCAAGGCAGGACAUUCUGAUCUUGUACACGUAGCCCAGAGUGGAGUAGGAAUUUCAUUCUAAAUAUUCAAGGUAAAAAACAUACUCCCAGAAUUUCUGACCGCCUAAAAGGACAGUGCCAAUUUCUUCGUAAGUAUCUUCUUCAAAGCUUUUUAAAAUUGCUUUUGUCUAAUAUGUUUUUCCUACUGUCUGUAUCAUUUUGUCUGACCGCUAUUACAGCAUCUGGAGUGCAGUGCAUUACAGUAAGCCUGUGCCAUUCUUGCAUAUCCGUAGCAAUGCAGUCAUAGAAUCACAGAAUCCUUCUGGUUGGAAAAAACCAUGAAGACCAUUUAGUUCAACCACUGACACAUCCUCACCAUGUCCACUAACCAUGUCCCUCAGUUCUUGAACAUCUCCAGGGACAGUGACUCCACCACCCUCUGAGCAGCCCAUUCCAGUGCCUCACUACUGUCUAAGAAGCUUUUCCUGGCAUCCAACCUGAACCUCCCCUGGUGCAACUUGAGUCCAUUUCCUCUCAUCCUAUCGCUGUUCCCUGGGAGAAAAGGCCAACUCCCAUCUCACCACAUCCUCCCUUCAGACAGUUGUAGAGAGCAAUAAGGUCUCCCCUGAGCAUCCUCUUCUCCACGCUGAACAAUCCCAGUUCCCU